GCCGGUGUAGCUCAGUGGUAGAGCAUCUGAUUCGUAAUCAGCAGGUCAAGGGUUCAAAUCCCUUCAUCGGCU
rnacentral:tRNA from 1 species